UUUGACCUCGGAUCAGGUAGGAAUACCCGCUGAACUUAAGCAUAUCAAUAAGCGGAGGA
rnacentral:rRNA from 14 species